AGCGAGGUUGCCCUUUGUAUAUUCUGUUUAUUGACAUGCAAUAUACAAGGGCAAGCUCUCUGU
rnacentral:pre_miRNA from 1 species